AGAGUUUGAUCCUGGCUCAGGAUGAACGCUGGCGGCGUGCCUAAUACAUGCAAGUCGAGCGAGAAGUUACAGAAACAAACCUUCGGGGGCGAUUCAGUAAUGGAAAGCGGCGGACGGGUGAGUAACGCGUAGGCAACCUGCCCUUAGCAGAGGGAUAGCCAUUGGAAACGAUGAUUAAAACCUCAUAACAUCGCAUUAACACAUGUUAAAGCGGUCAAAGAUUUAUCGGCUAAGGAUGGGCCUGCGUCUGAUUAACUAGUUGGUGAGGUAACGGCCCACCAAGGUGACGAUCAGUAGCCGACCUGAGAGGGUGAUCGGCCACAUUGGAACUGAGACACGGUCCAAACUUCUACGGAAGGCAGCAGUAAGGAAUCUUGCACAAUGGGGGAAACCCUGAUGCAGCAACGCCGCGUGAUUGAUGAAGGCCUUCGGGUUGUAAAAAUCUGAUCUAAGGGAAGAAGAAAGUGACGGUACCUUAGGAGAAAGUCCCGGCUAACUACGUGCCAGCAGCCGCGGUAAUACGUAGGGGGCAAGCGUUAUCCGGAAUUAUUGGGCGUAAAGAGUGCGUAGGUGGUUACCUAAGCGCAAGGUUUAAACUUGAGGCUUAACCUCAUUCUGCCUUGCGAACUGGGCUACUUGAGUGCAGGAGGGGGAAAGCGGAAUUCCUAGUGUAGCGGUGAAAUGCGUAGGAUAUUAGGAAGGAACACCGGUGGCGAAGGGCGGCUUUUCUGGACUGUAACUGACCACUGAGGCACGAAAGCGUGGGGAGCAAACAGGAUUAGAUACCCUGGUAGUCCACGCCGUAAACGAUGAGCACUAGUUGUUGGUUCCGAUAGGAAUCAGUGACGCAGUUAACGCAAUAAGUGCUCCGCCUGGGGAGUACGGUGGCAACACUAAAACUCAAAGGAAUUGACGGGGACCCGCACAAGCAGCGGAGCAUGUGGUUUAAUUCGAAGCAACGCGAAAAACCUUACCAGGGCUUGACAUCCCUCUGACAGAUGCUUAAUCGCAUCCUCCUUCGGACAGAGGAGACAGGUGGUGCAUGGUUGUCGUCAGCUCGUGUCGUGAGAUGUUGGGUUAAGUCCCGCAACGAGCACAACCCCUAUCCUCAGUAGCCAGCGGCUUGGCCGGGCACUCUGUGGAGACUGCCAGGGAUAACCUGGAGGAAGGUGGGGACGACGUCAAAUCAUCAUGCCCCUUAUGAUCUGGGCUACACACGUGCUACAAUGGCAGUUACGAUGUGAAGCGAGCCCGCGAGGGGGAGCAAACCACAAAAAGGCUGUCUCAGUUCGGACUGUAGUCUGCAACCCGACUACACGAAGCUGGAAUCGCUAGUAAUCGUGAAUCAGAAUGUCACGGUGAAUACGUUCCCGGGUCUUGUACACACCGCCGGUCA
rnacentral:rRNA from 1 species